GUGCUUGCUUCAGCAGCACAUACACUAAAAUUGGAAUGAAACAAAGCAGCAUGGCUCCUGCAAAAGGAUGACAUGCAAAUUUGUAAAGUGUUCCAUAUUUAU
rnacentral:snRNA from 1 species